rnacentral:rRNA from 1 species
CAGCGUGGAUGAGGCAUGCAAGUCGCACGAAAUAUUGAGCUUGCUUGAUAUUUAGUGGCGAAAGGGUUAGUAAUACUUGGGUAACUUACCCUUAACUUGGGAAUAACGGUUGGAAACGAUCGCUAAUACCGAAUGUGAAAAAGAAGAAGCAUUUCUACUUUUUUAAAGCUGGGGAUCGCAAGACCUAGUGGUUAAGGAGAGGCCCAUGGGAUAUCAGCUUGUUGGUGUGAUAAAAGCGCACCAAGGCUAAGACGUCUAGGCGGAUUGAGAGGUCGACCGCCAACACUGGGACUGAGACACUGCCCAGACUCCUACGGGAGGCUGCAGUCGAGAAUCUUUCACAAUGGGGGAAACCCUGAUGAAGCGACGCCGUGUGAGUGAAGAAGGCCUUCGGGUCGUAAAGCUCUUUCGCUUGGGAGCAAGAGAAGCGAGCUAAUACCUCGCUAAUUUGAUAGUACCAGGUAAAGAAGCACCGGCUAACUUCGUGCCAGCAGCUGCGGUAAUACGAAGGGUGCAAGCGUUAAUCGGAUUUAUUGGGCGUAAAGGGCGCGUAGGCGGAAAAGAAAGUCAAAUGUGAAAUCCCAGGGCUUAACCCUGGAACUGCAUUUGAAACUCCUUAUCUUGAGGGUAGACGGAGAAAGUGGAAUUCCACAUGUAGCGGUAAAAUGCGUAGAUAUGUGGAAGAAUACCGGUGGCGAAGGCGACUUUCUAGUUUAUUCCUGACGCUGAGGCGCGAAAGCAAGGGUAGCAAACAGGAUUAGAUACCCUGGUAGUCCUUGCCGUAAACGAUGUAUACUUGGCGUAGCUGGUCUCAACCCCAGCUGUGUCGGAGCUAACGUGUUAAGUAUACCGCCUGAGGAGUACGCUCGCAAGGGUGAAACUCAAAAGAAUUGACGGGGGCUCGCACAAGCAGUGGAGCAUGUGGUUUAAUUCGACGCAACGCGAAGAACCUUACCUGGUCUUGACAUGCAUCUCUAAGUUGGUGAAAGCCAGUGACUCUCGUAAGAGAGAAUUUGCACAGGUGCUGUAUGGCUGUCGUCAGCUCGUGUCGUGAGAUGUUGGGUUAAGUCCCGCAACGAGCGCAACCCCUGUGAACUGUUGCUAUUCUAACUUCGGUUAGAAGCACUCUGUUCAGACUGCCCUGUGAAACGGGGAGGAAGGUGGGGAUGACGUCAAGUCAGCAUGGCCCUUACGACCAGGGCUGCACACGUACUACAAUGCCCAGAACAAAAUGAACCAAGACCGCAAGGUGGAGGAAAUCGAUAAAUCUGGGCCCAGUUCGGAUUGAAGGCUGCAACUCGCCUUCAUGAAGUUGGAAUCGCUAGUAAUGGCACAUCAGCUACGGUGCCGUGAAUACGUUCCCGGGCCUUGUACACACCGCCCGUCACAUCAUGGAAGUCGCUUGUACCCGAAGUCGCUACGCUAACCCGCAAGGGAGGCAGGUGCCUAAGGUAUGGGUGGUAACUGGGAUGAAGUCGUAACAAGGUAGCC